AACGCACAUUGCGCCCCUUGGUAUUCCGGGGGGCAUGCCUGUUCGAGCGUCAUUACAACCCUCAAGCUCAGCUUGGUGUUGGGUAGCAUCAGCGAUGGUGUGCCCUAAAGCCAAUGGCGGUACUGCCUAGCUCCUAAGCGUAGUAAGUUUCUCGCUAUGGGUGCCUGGUAAGCGCUUGCCAUAAUCACUAUAUCUUAUGGUUGACCUCGGAUCAGGUAGGGAUACCCGCUGAACUUAA
rnacentral:misc_RNA from 1 species